rnacentral:rRNA from 1 species
CUUCCAUGAAGCUGGAAUUGCUGUAAUGGCAGGUCAGCAUACUGCCGUGAAUACGUUCCCGGGCCCCUGUACACACCGCCCGUCACACCAUGAGAGUUGGAAAUACCCGAAGCCUGUGAGCUAACUUAAAGAGGCAGCAGUCGAAGGUGGAGCCAAUGAUUGGGGUGAAGUCGUAACAAGGUAAC